GUCUUUUAAUUGAGGUCUAGAAUGAACGGCUGGAUGAGAAAUAUACUUUUUUUAUUUUAAAUUCGAGAACUUAACUUUUUAGUCAAAAGGCUAAAAUUUAUUUAAAGGACGAGAAGACCCUAUAGAACUUUAUUGUUUUGAUGGAUGGUUUAUUUAGUUUAUAAUUUAAAUAGUUUUUUAAAAAAAUUUUGUUGGGGUGACAGAAAAAAUAUAAUAACUUUUUCUAUUUUUUUCAUUUAUAUAUGAUUUUUUGAUCCUUUACUAUGGAUACAAGACUAAGUUACCUUAGGGAUAACAGCGUUAUUAUUUUGGAGAGUUCAUAUCGAUGAAAUAGUUUGCGACCUCGAUGUUGGAUUAAAAUUAGACAUAGGAGUAGGAUAUUAUGUAUCUAGGUCUGUUCGACCUUUAAAUUUUUACA
rnacentral:rRNA from 1 species